UGACAAAAAAAGAAAGAAAAAGGGGCGCAGCGACUCGUUUGGCAAGCAGAGGAUUUUUCAGACAAUGUGCCACUUGCCGUGAACAAUCGUGUCAUUCAUUGCUGUCAAUAUGGCAAAGCACACAAAAGCGGGAUUCAAAAUGUUAAAAGCCUUGUGACGAUGGUGAACAUGACUACACAGUCAAGAGAAGAUUCCACAUUCAGAAAACCAAGAAGGUAGACUGUCCUGCAAAGGUUUUUAUCCGCUAUAUUACAAGAUAUGACACAUUCUGUGUUGAAGAAGGGGCUUCAAAAGCCAAGAAACAAGUGGUUCUUGUUGCUGUAUCUUUGAAAAAAGAAACCCCAACUACUUCUCAGGUGAUCCACAUUAAACUACCUUUGGCUGAUUGUGGCGGAGUAUCCCGCCCCUAUAUUUAUAUGUGCACUAUUUAUUAUUAUUUGUAUUAUUAUUUGCGGCGCAGGUAUUUGUUAUUGUUUUUAUAUUUUAAAAAUCUCGUGAGGAUGCGUGGCUGAUCAGCUACUGAUUUAUUUAACUAGCUGUCAGUCACGCAUCCUUACUAAACUCGUGCAGACUGUGGCCGAGGGGUAAUAAGAUAAUUAACAGCUAGUUAACCCCUCGGCCAGAGUAUAAGAACCUGCAGCUGUCUGUGCUGCGGGGGAGAGUGCACAGAGGAGAGCACGGGGAGCGGAGAGAGCGAUGAGAGAGAAAUUACAUUUAAAAAAACAACUGCUAAGUAUCGUGCUGGUGCUAAAACCAGCACGCUUAUUUGUUUGUUUAUUUGUUUGGCCAACGUGCCCUUUUGUUUUGUUGUUUGUUUAAAUCUUUUGUUUUGUUUUAUUAUUUAAUAAAUACGCUGACCGCAGUAGCGUCCAG